rnacentral:rRNA from 1 species
UGCCAGACUCCUACGGGAGGCAGCAGUGAGGAAUAUUGGUCAAUGGUCGGGAGACUGAACCAGCCAAGCCGCGUGAGGGAGGAAGGUACAGAGUAUCGUAAACCUCUUUUGUCAGGGGACAAAGACUGGGACGCGUCCCCGGAUGAGUGUACCUGAAGAAAAAGCAUCGGCUAACUCCGUGCCAGCAGCCGCGGUAAUACGGAGGAUGCGAGCGUUAUCCGGAUUUAUUGGGUUUAAAGGGUGCGCAGGCGGCACGGCAAGCCGGCGGUCAAAUCGCGGGGCUCAACCCCGUCGUGCCGUUGAAACUGGCGUUCUUGAGUGAGCGAGAAGUAUGCGGAAUGCGUGGUGUAGCGGUGAAAUGCAUAGAUAUCACGCAGAACUCCGAUUGCGAAGGCAGCAUACCGGCGCUCAACUGACGCUCAUGCACGAAAGCGUGGGUAUCGAACAGGAUUAGAUACCCGAGUAA